AAUAGUCCUGUAUGUUAAACGAGAAGACUUCAGAUAUGAUCCAGAGUACCACGGGACACGUGAAACCCUGUGGGAAGCAGGAGGGACCACCCUCCAAGGCUAAAUACUACCUAGUGACCGAUAGCGUAUAGUACCGUGAGGGAAAGGUGAAAAGAACCCCGGGAGGGGAGUGAAAUAGAACCUGAAACCCUGCACUUACAAGCUGUGGAAGCACAUUUCUUGUGUGACCGCGUACUUUUUGUAGAACGGGCCAACGAGUUACGUUAAGUAGCAAGGUUAAGCACUUAAGGUGUGGAGCCGUAGCGAAAGCGAGUUUUAACUGAGCGUUCAGUUACUUGACGUAGACCCGAAACCGGGCGACCUACCCAUGAGCAGGAUGAAGCGAAAGUAAAAUUUCGUGGAGGUCCGAACCCACGAGCGUUGAAAAGCUCGGGGAUGACUUGUGGGUAGCGGUGAAAUUCCAAUCGAGCCCGGAGAUAGCUGGUUCUCCCCGAAAUAGCUUUAGGGCUAGCCUCAAGGUGAGAGAUACGGAGGUAGAGCACUGAAUGUCCUAGGGGGUAUUGCACCUACCGAAGACUAUCAAACUCCGAAUGCCGUCAUCUUAUACUUGGGAGUCAGACUGUGGGUGAUAAGAUUCAUAGUCGAAAGGGCAACAGCCCAGAUCGUCAGCUAAGGUCCCUAAAUGUAAGUUAAGUGGUAAAGGAUGUGGGAUUGCACAGACAACCAGGAUGUUGGCUUAGAAGCAGCCACUCAUUCAAAGAGUGCGUAAUAGCUCACUGGUCGAGUGAUCCUGCGCCGAAGAUUUCCGGGGCUAAAACUUACUACCGAAGCUACGGCAUCAGUAAUGAUGGGUAGGGGAGCUUCCCAUACGGGUUGAAGCAUGACCGUAAGGACAUGUGGACAGUAUGGGAGUGAGAAUGUUGGCAUGAGUAGCGAGAUGUGGGUGAGAAUCCCACAGGCCGUAAACCCAAGGUUUCCAGGGGAAGGUUCGUCCGCCCUGGGUUAGUCGGGACCUAAGCUGAGGCCGAAAGGCGUAGGUGAUGGACAACAGGUUGAUAUUCCUGUACUACCGAUAACCGUUUGAGAGAAGGGAUGACACAGUAGGAUAAGCUAAGCACACUGUUGGUUAUGUGUGCCCAAGCAUUGAGGCAGUCAAAGUAGGCAAAUCCGCUUUGAUAAUGCUGGGAUGUGAUGGGGAGCGAAAUUUAGUAGCGAAGUAGCUGAUUUCACACUGUCAAGAAAAGUCUCUAUCGAGGUUAAAGGUACCCGUACCGCAAACCGACACAGGUGGGUGAGGAGAGUAUCCUAAGGCCAGCGAGAGAACUGUUGUUAAGGAACUCGGCAAAAUGACCCCGUAACUUAGGGAUAAGGGGUGCCACCAUCAGGUGGCCGCAGAGAAUAGGCCCAAGCGACUGUUUACCAAAAACAUAGGUUUCUGCUAAGUCGCAAGACGAUGUAUAGGAGCUGACGCCUGCCCGGUGCUGGAAGGUUAAGGGGAUCUGUUAGAGCAAUCGAAGCAGUGAACUUAAGCCCCAGUAAACGGCGGCCGUAACUAUAACGGUCCUAAGGUAGCGAAAUUCCUUGUCGGGUAAGUUCCGACCCGCACGAAAGGCGUAACGAUUUGGGCACUGUCUCAACAACAGACUCGGUGAAAUUGUAAUUCCGGUGAAGAUGCCGGAUACCUGCGACAGGACGGAAAGACCCCAUGGAGCUUUACUGUAGCUUGACAUUGGGU
rnacentral:rRNA from 1 species